rnacentral:rRNA from 1 species
AGGCUAAUACCGCAUACGUCCUACGGGAGAAAGGGGGCUUCGGCUCCCGCUAUUGGAUGAGCCUAUGUCGGAUUAGCUAGUUGGUGAGGUAAAGGCUCACCAAGGCAACGAUCCGUAGCUGGUCUGAGAGGAUGAUCAGCCACAUCGGGACUGAGACACGGCCCGAACUCCUACGGGAGGCAGCAGUGGGGAAUAUUGGACAAUGGGGGCAACCCUGAUCCAGCCAUGCCGCGUGUGUGAAGAAGGCCUUCGGGUUGUAAAGCACUUUCAGCGAGGAAGAACGCCUAGUGGUUAAUACCCAUUAGGAAAGACAUCACUCGCAGAAGAAGCACCGGCUAACUCCGUGCCAGCAGCCGCGGUAAUACGGAGGGUGCAAGCGUUAAUCGGAAUUACUGGGCGUAAAGCGCGCGUAGGUGGCUUGAUAAGCCGGUUGUGAAAGCCCCGGGCUCAACCUGGGAACGGCAUCCGGAACUGUCAAGCUAGAGUGCAGGAGAGGAAGGUAGAAUUCCCGGUGUAGCGGUGAAAUGCGUAGAGAUCGGGAGGAAUACCAGUGGCGAAGGCGGCCUUCUGGACUGACACUGACACUGAGGUGCGAAAGCGUGGGUAGCAAACAGGAUUAGAUACCCUGGUAGUCCACGCCGUAAACGAUGUCGACCAGCCGUUGGGUGCCUAGCGCACUUUGUGGCGAAGUUAACGCGAUAAGUCGACCGCCUGGGGAGUACGGCCGCAAGGUUAAAACUCAAAUGAAUUGACGGGGGCCCGCACAAGCGGUGGAGCAUGUGGUUUAAUUCGAUGCAACGCGAAGAACCUUACCUACUCUUGACAUCCUGCGAACUUGUGAGAGAUCACUUGGUGCCUUCGGGAACGCAGAGACAGGUGCUGCAUGGCUGUCGUCAGCUCGUGUUGUGAAAUGUUGGGUUAAGUCCCGUAACGAGCGCAACCCUUGUCCUUAUUUGCCAGCACGUAAUGGUGGGAACUCUAAGGAGACUGCCGGUGACAAACCGGAGGAAGGUGGGGACGACGUCAAGUCAUCAUGGCCCUUACGAGUAGGGCUACACACGUGCUACAAUGGCCGGUACAAAGGGUUGCCAACUCGCGAGAGUGAGCUAAUCCCGAAAAGCCGGUCUCAGUCCGGAUCGGAGUCUGCAACUCGACUCCGUGAAGUCGGAAUCGCUAGUAAUCGUGAAUCAGAAUGUCACGGUGAAUACGUUCCCGGGCCUUGUACACACCGCC